GCCUGGGUGGCUCAGUCGGUUGAGCGUCCGACUUCGGCUCAGGUCAUGAUCUCACAGCUCGUGAGUUCGAGCCCCACAUCAGGCU
rnacentral:tRNA from 1 species